rnacentral:rRNA from 1 species
GAGCAAUCUGUGUGACUGCGUACCUUUUGUAUAAUGGGUCAGCGACUUAUAUUCUGUAGCAAGGUUAACCGAAUAGGGGAGCCGAAGGGAAACCGAGUCUUAACUGGGCGUUAAGUUGCAGGGUAUAGACCCGAAACCCGGUGAUCUAGCCAUGGGCAGGUUGAAGGUUGGGUAACACUAACUGGAGGACCGAACCGACUAAUGUUGAAAAAUUAGCGGAUGACUUGUGGCUGGGGGUGAAAGGCCAAUCAAACCGGGAGAUAGCUGGUUCUCCCCGAAAGCUAUUUAGGUAGCGCCUCGUGAAUUCAUCUCCGGGGGUAGAGCACUGUUUCGGCAAGGGGGUCAUCCCGACUUACCAACCCGAUGCAAACUGCGAAUACCGGAGAAUGUUAUCACGGGAGACACACGGCGGGUGCUAACGUCCGUCGUGAAGAGGGAAACAACCCAGACCGCCAGCUAAGGUCCCAAAGUCAUGGUUAAGUGGGAAACGAUGUGGGAAGGCCCAGACAGCCAGGAUGUUGGCUUAGAAGCAGCCAUCAUUUAAAGAAAGCGUAAUAGCUCACUGGUCGAGUCGGCCUGCGCGGAAGAUGUAACGGGGCUAAACCAUGCAC